rnacentral:rRNA from 1 species
AUUGAACGCUGGCGGCAGGCCUAACACAUGCAAGUCGAGCGGGGUUUUCGGACCUAGCGGCGGACGGGUGAGUAAUGCGUAGGAAGCUGCCCGAUAGAGGGGGAUACCAGUUGGAAACGACUGUUAAUACCGCAUAAUGUCUACGGACCAAAGUGUGGGACCUUCGGGCCACAUGCUAUCGGAUGCGCCUACGUGGGAUUAGCUAGUUGGUGAGGUAAUGGCUCACCAAGGCGACGAUCUCUAGCUGGUUUGAGAGGAUGAUCAGCCACACUGGAACUGAGACACGUGCCAGACUCCGACGGGAGGCAGCAGUAGGGAAUAUUGGACAAUGGGCGCAAGCCUGAUCCAGCCAUGCCGCGUGUGGGAAGAAGGCCUUCGGGUUGUAAAGCACUUUCAGCGAGGAGGAAGGGUGGUGUGUUAAUAGCACAUCAUUUUGACGUUACUCACAGAAGAAGCACCGGCUAACUCUGUGCCAGCCGCCGCAGUAACAC